AGCGAACGCUGGCGGCAGGCUUAACACAUGCAAGUCGAGCGGGCAUCUUCGGAUGUCAGCGGCAGACGGGUGAGUAACACGUGGGAACGUACCCUUCGGUUCGGAACAACUCUGGGAAACUGGAGCUAAUACCGGAUACGCCCUUAUGGGGAAAGGUUUACUGCCGAAGGAUCGGCCCGCGUCUGAUUAGCUAGUUGGUGGGGUAACGGCCUACCAAGGCGACGAUCAGUAGCUGGUCUGAGAGGAUGAUCAGCCACACUGGGACUGAGACACGGCCCAGACUCCUACGGGAGGCAGCAGUGGGGAGUAUUGGACAAUGGGCGCAAGCCUGAGCCAGCCAUUCCGCGGGAGUGAUGAAGGCAUUAGGGUAGUAAAGCUCUUUUGUACGGGACGAUAAUGACGGUAACGGAAGAAUAAGCCCCGGCUAACUUCGUG
rnacentral:rRNA from 1 species